rnacentral:rRNA from 1 species
UGAACGCUGGCGGCGUGCCUAAUACAUGCAAGUCGAGCGACCAGACGAGGAGCUUGCUCCUCUGACGUUAGCGGCGGACGGGUGAGUAACACGUGGAUAACCUACCUAUAAGACUGGGAUAACUUCGGGAAACCGGAGCUAAUACCGGAUAAUAUAUUGAACCGCAUGGUUCCAUAGUGAAAGACGGUUUUGCUGUCACUUAUAGAUGGAUCCGCGCCGCAUUAGCUAGUUGGUAAGGUAACGGCUUACCAAGGCGACGAUGCGUAGCCGACCUGAGAGGGUGAUCGGCCACACUGGAACUGAGACACGGUCCAGACUCCUACGGGAGGCAGCAGUAGGGAAUCUUCCGCAAUGGGCGAAAGCCUGACGGAGCAACGCCGCGUGAGUGAUGAAGGUCUUCGGAUCGUAAAACUCUGUUAUUAGGGAAGAACAAAUGUGUAAGUAACUAUGCACGUCUUGACGGUACCUAAUCAGAAAGCCACGGCUAACUACGUG